rnacentral:rRNA from 1 species
AUGGCCUGGGAAUCCCACCUGCUCUUUCUGUACGAGUUGGAAACCUCCCAACAUAUGUUCUUCACUUGUCCUGUGGCUAGGGUGAUCUGGAGAUGUGUUGGGGUGGUACUGGGUACGGAGAUGUGUCUAAAUAGCUACUGGCAGUAUUUUGCAUGGUGUCAUGCGUUUUUCCCUGCUGGACAAAAGUAUUAUACUGUUGGCUUGGCUAUUGCCUGCUGGGCCAUUUGGCUUGCCAGGAAUCGUGCUACUUUCAAAAAGAAGCAGAUCAAAACACCCUUUGAGAUAAUUUUCUCCCCGUGUACUUUUUUGUUAUAUUGGGCAGGUCUACAGCGGGAGGAAGGCAUCAAGGAACUGCAAAGCGGUGCUGAGAUGAUCAGGUCGAACACGAUGCACCUGGUGGGGAUGUGCAACGCUGCGAGGGUGCCGAUCGAAGGAGAUUGA